CGCGGGGUAGUGGAGUCAGGUACCACGUGAGGCUCAUAACCUCAAGGUCCCCGGUUCAAAUCCGGGCCCCGCAACCA
rnacentral:tRNA from 1 species